UACGGGGGGGGCAAGCGUUGUUCGGAAUUACUGGGCGUAAAGGGCUUGUAGGUGGCCAACUAAGUCAGACGUGAAAUCCCCCGGCUUAACCGGGGAACUGCGUCUGAUACUGGAUGGCUAGAGAUUGGGAGAGGGACGCGGAAUUCCAGGUGUAGCGGUGAAAUGCGUAGAUAUCUGGAGGAACACCGGUGGCGAAGGCGGUGUCCUGGACCAACACUGACACUGAAAAGCGAAAGCCAGGGGAGCAAACGGG
rnacentral:rRNA from 1 species